AAGUGGAUAUAGCUCAGUGGUAGAUCAUUCGACUGCAGAUCGAGAGGUCCCUGGUUCGAACCCGGGUUUAUUUG